rnacentral:lncRNA from 1 species
UUAAACACUGCCCAUGGUUCAUUGUAAGGUAGUUAUUAUAUACAUGGAAUGGAUCGCGGUGCCUGUGGUGAAAUGAAUUGACAUCGAUUCAUCUUCUUGUACAGUGGCCCCGCUAAUUGUGUUCACACCUUCCUUUUUCAUUUCAUACUAUCCUUAGUUUUGUAUUUACAACCCAAUACCCCAAUCACACGAAUAACCAGCCUAAUUCGUGGUGAUGCGUUU